GAGUUAUACGGACGUAGAUAGAAUAAGUAGUGUAGCGGUGCAAACUGCAUAGAUAUUCACUUAGAAUACCGAUUCGCGAACGGCAGUCUACUACGCUAUACUACUGACGCUCAUGGACGAAACGCGUGGGGCAGCGCAACAGGCUUCAGAUCCCUGGUAGUCCACGCCGUACACGAUGGACACUAGUUGUUGGGAUUUGUCUCAGUGACUACGCGCC
rnacentral:rRNA from 1 species